rnacentral:rRNA from 1 species
ACUACGGGAGGCUGCAGUGGGGAAUAUUGCACAAUGGGCGCAAGCCUGAUGCAGCCAUGCCGCGUGUGUGAAGAAGGCCUUCGGGUUGUAAGGCACUUUCAGCGGGGAGGAAGGCGGUGAGGUUAAUAACCUCAUCGAUUGACGUUACCCGCAGAAGAAGCACCGGCUAACUCCGUGCCAGCAGCCGCGGUAAUACGGAGGGUGCAAGCGUUAAUCGGAAUUACUGGGCGUAAAGCGCACGCAGGCGGUCUGUCAAGUCGGAUGUGAAAUCCCCGGGCUCAACCUGGGAACUGCAUUCGAAACUGGCAGGCUAGAGUCUUGUAGAGGGGGGUAGAAUUCCAGGUGUGGCGGUGAAAUGCGUAGAGAUCUGGAGGAAUACCGGUGGCGAAGGCGGCCCCCUGGACAAAGACUGACGCUCAGGUGCGAAAGCGUGGGGAGCGAACAGGAUUAGAUACCCCAGUAGUC